CUUGGUUUAGCUCAGUGGUAGAGCGCUUGCCUAGGAAGCGCAAGGCCCUGGGUUCGGUCCCCAGCUCCAAAA
rnacentral:tRNA from 1 species